GCAUUUGGGUAAUUGCGGUGCAUUCAGUUGCGCUGAGGAAAGUCCAUGCUCGCACAACCUGAGAUGGUUGUAGUGUUCGUGCCUAACGAAACAAUAAGUUAGGGCAGCUAAUGAUUUAGCUGACGGCCGGGAAAAAGCCUAAGUCUUACGAUAUGGCUUGAGUACCUAUAAAAGUGCCACAGUGACGAUAUUCACUGGAAACAGUGAAGUGGAACGGGUAAACCCCACGAGCGAGAAACCCAAAAAUUGGUAGGGGCACUUCCGAAGUGGAAUUCAACGCUUAGGGAGGUAGAGUUCAUCUACAGACAGAUAAUUACCACCUGAGUACGAGGAGGCAUCCGAUUGCAGUACAACGGUACAGAACAUGGCUUACAAAA
rnacentral:RNase_P_RNA from 1 species